rnacentral:rRNA from 1 species
AGCCCGCUCGCCGGAAGACCAAGGGUUCCUGUCCAACGUUAAUCGGGGCAGGGUGAGUCGACCCCUAAGGCGAGGCCGAAAGGCGUAGUCGAUGGGAAACAGGUUAAUAUUCCUGUACUUGGUGUUACUGCGAAGAGGGGACGGAGAAGGCUAUGUUGGCCGGGCGACGGUUGUCCCGGUUUAAGCGUGUAGGCUGAUUUUCCAGGCAAAUCCGGAAAAUCAAGGCUGAGGCGUGAUGACGAGGCACUACGGUGCUGAAGCAACAAAUGCCCUGCUUCCAGGAAAAGCCUCUAAGCAUCAGGUAACAUCAAAUCGUACCCCAAACCGACACAGGUGGUCAGGUAGAGAAUACCAAGGCGCUUGAGAGAACUCGGGUGAAGGAACUAGGCAAAAUGGUGCCGUAACUUCGGGAGAAGGCACGCUGAUAUGUAGGUGAAGCGACUUGCUCGUGGAGCUGAAAUCAGUCGAAGAUACCAGCUGGCUGCAACUGUUUAUUAAAAACACAGCACUGUGCAAACACGAAAGUGGACGUAUACGGUGUGACGCCUGCCCGGUGCCGGAAGGUUAAUUGAUGGGGUUAGCGGCAACGCGAAGCUCUUGAUCGAAGCCCCGGUAAACGGCGGCCGUAACUAUAACGGUCCUAAGGUAGCGAAAUUCCUUGUCGGGUAAGUUCCGACCUGCACGAAUGGCGUAAUGAUGGCCAGGCUGUCUCCACCCGAGACUCAGUGAAAUUGAACUCGCUGUGAAGAUGCAGUGUACCCGCGGCAAGACGGAAAGACCCCGUGAACCUUUACUAUAGCUUGACACUGAACAUUGAGCCUUGAUGUGUAGGAUAGGUGGGAGGCUUUGAAGUGUGGACGCCAGUCUGCAUGGAGCCGACCUUGAAAUACCACCCUUUAAUGUUUGAUGUUCUAACGUUGGCCCGUAAUCCGGGUUGCGGACAGUGUCUGGUGGGUAGUUUGACUGGGGCGGUCUCCUCCUAAAGAGUAACGGAGGAGCACGAAGGUUGGCUAAUCCUGGUCGGACAUCAGGAGGUUAGUGCAAUGGCAUAAGCCAGCUUGACUGCGAGCGUGACGGCGCGAGCAGGUGCGAAAGCAGGUCAUAGUGAUCCGGUGGUUCUGAAUGGAAGGGCCAUCGCUCAACGGAUAAAAGGUACUCCGGGGAUAACAGGCUGAUACCGCCCAAGAGUUCAUAUCGACGGCGGUGUUUGGCACCUCGAUGUCGGCUCAUCACAUCCUGGGGCUGAAGUAGGUCCCAAGGGUAUGGCUGUUCGCCAUUUAAAGUGGUACGCGAGCUGGGUUUAGAACGUCGUGAGACAGUUCGGUCCCUAUCUGCCGUGGGCGCUGGAGAACUGAGGGGGGCUGCUCCUAGUACGAGAGGACCGGAGUGGACGCAUCACUGGUGUUCGGGUUGUCAUGCCAAUGGCACUGCCCGGUAGCUAAAUGCGGAAGAGAUAAGUGCUGAAAGCAUCUAAGCACGAAACUUGCCCCGAGAUGAGUUCUCCCUGACUCCUUGAGAGUCCUGAAGGAACGUUGAAGACGACGACGUUGAUAGGCCGGGUGUGUAAGCGCAGCGAUGCGUUGAGCUAACCGGUACUAAUGAACCGUGAGGCUUAACCUU